rnacentral:rRNA from 1 species
GACGAACGCUAGCGGCGUGCUUAACACAUGCAAGUCGAACGAUGAAGCUAGAGCUUGCUCUGGUGGAUUAGUGGCGAACGGGUGAGUAACACGUGAGUAACCUGCACCGAACUCUGGGAUAACUGCUGGAAACGGUAGCCAAUACCGGAUAUGACCAAUGAAGGCAUCUUAUGUUGGUGGAAAGAAUUUCGGUUCGGGAUGGACUCGCGGCCUAUCAGCUUGUUGGUGAGGUAACGGCUCACCAAGGCGACGACGGGUAGCCGGCCUGAGAGGGUGAUCGGCCACACUGGGACUGAGACACGGCCCAGACUCCUACGGGAGGCAGCAGUGGGGAAUAUUGCACAAUGGGCGCAAGCCUGAUGCAGCAACGCCGCGUGAGGGACGAAGGCCUUCGGGUUGUAAACCUCUUUUAGUAGGGAAGAAGCGAAAGUGACGGUACCUGCAGAAAAAGCACCGGCUAACUACGUGCCAGCAGCCGCGGUAA